rnacentral:rRNA from 1 species
AGUGAACGCUGGCGGUAGGCCUAACACAUGCAAGUCGAACGGCAGCACAGUAAGAGCUUGCUCUUACGGGUGGCGAGUGGCGGACGGGUGAGGAAUACAUCGGAAUCUACUUUUUCGUGGGGGAUAACGUAGGGAAACUUACGCUAAUACCGCAUACGACCUACGGGUGAAAGCAGGGGAUCUUCGGACCUUGCGCGAUUGAAUGAGCCGAUGUCGGAUUAGCUAGUUGGCGGGGUAAAGGCCCACCAAGGCGACGAUCCGUAGCUGGUCUGAGAGGAUGAUCAGCCACACUGGAACUGAGACACGGUCCAGACUCCUACGGGAGACAGCAGUGGGGAAUAUUGGACAAUGGGCGCAAGCCUGAUCCAGCCAUACCGCGUGGGUGAAGAAGGCCUUCGGGUUGUAAAGCCCUUUUGUUGGGAAAGAAAAGCAGCAGGUUAAUACCCCGCUGUUCUGAGGGUACCCAAAGAAUAAGCACCGGCUAACUUCGUG